rnacentral:SRP_RNA from 1 species
CCGUGCUAGACGGGGAGGUAGCGGUGCCCUGUAGCUCGCAAUCCGCUGUAGCGAGGUUGAAUCCCUUUUCUGAGGUUAUGCUGAUGUGGGGCUGGUGUUCAUGAACAGUGUUGACGGUUGGGUCCUCCGCAAUGGGCGCUUGUGAACGGGUCAGGUCCGGAAGGAAGCAGCCAUAAGCAGGUUAGCUCAUGUGCCGGAGGAGUGCUUGACCAGAGCUGGGAGUGGAAGUGCCGUCCAUGUUACAUCAAUCGAAGUUAGGUGCACGG